UAUUUACGCUCCUUGUCGUGAAUACCCCCCUGAUUUUAACAUAUUUUUAUUAGUUUACUAUUACACUUUUUUAAUGAAAGAUUAGUAUAUUGUUUUGCUUGAUAACAUUUAAUUUUAUUGGCUGGCAACAUAGGAGAGGCAUUAAAAAUUGUGACACAUGUAUGAAAGUGCCAAACGAUGUCCAUAUAUAUUGCAAAUUAAUAUGAAAUUUUCAUUCUUGUUAGCAGAAUACUUUGCAAAUUUGGUAUAAUAAAACAUGGUAUCUGGGAAAAUGCACAAGCCUUUUCUCCUGAUGUCAACAAAUGCGAAAUUCCCGGAAGUGUCGCCUACCGAAACAUCCCCGGAAUCUGUACUGCAUUUUUUAAUUUCUGUCAAAAAUUCCGAAUGAUAUCAUAUUUUCUUUUAGUAUACCUUUCUAUAUUGGUUUUAAGUACUAUUCUCCAAGAGGGGUUCGUAUGUUUUAGUCCUGCAGCAUGAAAACUUCACUUACACGACAUACGUGAAAAAUAUUUCAAGAACUGUUUUUUAAAUAUUCUUAUUUUAGUAUGGGGCAAACAUACAAUGUACGCACUGAUUCCUUGUUCAAAAUCGUAUUUCAGUUAUAUGCAUUGCAGAAAUAAAAGAUGCUAAUCUAUAGGUAAUAGUAAAAUAUUAUUUGGAAAUUACUUGGUACUACGUGUAUACAUGGUUAUUUUCACAUAGCAGCACCGAAACUUUAUAUAAUGUUGUUUAGCUAACAGAUUAUUAUAUUAAAGGUUUGAUUUCAUUAAAUUUGAUAUUGAAGACUGUACAUGUAUUCAUGCAAGAAAUAUUUGGGUAAAUUAACCGUGAUCUAAUUUUUUGAAGUGUUUCUGGAAAUCAAGUUUACUUAAAUCACACAAAGGAUGAGCCUCAUGCAUAACGAACAUUAAUGCUUUUACAAAUGUUGUCAUAUGGAUAUAUGUACUUACAACAGCUUUGAUAUGUACAGGCUAGAAAUUGCUAAAAGAAGUAAGUUGUGUAAAAGUUGAAUGCAACUGAAUCUGUUUUAGCAUACACGCAGAACAUGGAUAUCAUGUAGCAAGUUACAUGAAACCAAAACUAUCUGAAAUAGGCAGAUACUUAUCUAUGAAGUAAAAAUUAUAUCUAUGUGAGGUAUUAGCGUAUCAUAAGCACAUAAGAUAACUUAAAAGUGUAUGUGCUUUUCACGCAGCAAAGAGCAAAGAUAAGAUAGAUAACAGAUUCUUUGGAAACGAGAGCAGUUUAAGGAAAUAUGUUUAUCCACACAGAAGAAAGACCACAUGUGUGUGGGGUGUGUAAGAAAUCAUUUAAGCUAAAAAACAAUUUGAGCAUACAUAUGCUUCUUCACACAGGAGAGAAGCCUCAUGUGUGUGAAAUAUGUAAUAAGUCAUUUACCGAAAAGGUGAUUUAAAGGAUCAUAUACUUGUCCAUAUUGGGGAAAAAUGUCAUGUGUGUAUGAUGUGUAACAAAUCAUUUACACAAAAAGCUUAUUUAAAAAGGCAUAUGUUUAUUCACACGGGAGAGAAACCUCAUGUUUGUGAAAUAUGCAGCAAAUCGUUUAGGAAAAAGAGUAUUUUUAAAAGUACAUAUGCGUAAUCACACAGAAGAAAGACCAUAUGUUUGUCAAUUAUGUAGCAAGUCAUUUAAACAAAAGAGUGGUUUAAUUAUGCAUAUGCGUCUUGAAAAAGGGGAGAAAUCUGUGGUCUGUGAAGUAUGUAAUAAGUCAUUUAGAGAAAAAGGUCAUUUAAAUAUGCAUAUGCUGAUACAUACUGGAGAAAAACCUCAUGUGUGUGAGAUAUGCAACAAGUCAUUCAGACAGAAAGGUGAUUUAAAUAAACAUACACCUCUUCAUACUGGGGAAAAGCCUCAUGUCUGCGAUGUGUGUAAGAGGUCAUUUGGGAUAAAAAGUUAUUUGAAGAGACAUAUGCUCAUUCACACAGAAGAAAAAUCUCAUGUUUGUAUGGUAUGUAAGAAAUCAUUUAGAAAUAAGGGAGAUUUAAGGAGGCAUUUGCUUAUUCACACAGGAGAAAAACCUCAUGUGUGUGAGAUAUGCAAGAAGUCAUAUGGACGAAAAAGUGUUUUGCUAACACAUAUGCAUAUCCACACAAAAGAGAAGUCUCUUGUCCUUUAGAAUAAAAAUUAGUUUAAUGGGAACUUUUGCUUAUGCAUGUGGGAAAGGCUUAUUUGUUCAGAAGAGAAAUUACCUACAUCUGAUAUACUUGUUUGUAGAACUGAGAAUCUUUAUUAUAAAAUUUUGAGCCUAACAAGUCUGCAAACCACAGUUAUUACCAUGGGUAAGAAGCAAGACAGAAGGAGAAGAAAGAAAUCCACAGAGGCUGUUACACAUUUUUUAGAUGAUUUUCACUGUAUUUACAGGAAUGCACUCUGUCACAAAAAAAUAUAUGCAUUCAGAAAGAAACGAACUACAGUAGAAUUCCAAAAAUCCGCAAAGCUUGGGACCAGAGGUUGUGCGGAUUUUAGGAUUUCAGGACAGAAAAGAUAAAACAUAAUAUUCAGACUAAAGAUGGUGAAUUAUGCAUUAUGAUUUAUUACAGCAAAGUUCUGUAAUAUCUCUUUUAUGGCUGGUAGAAGUAACUCUCCAAUAGUAUGUGCUUCUUCUGAUUGUGCAAUAAGUAAAACAUUAUUGUAAGAAGUAUGCGACCCAGCUUCAUCUGGUACCGUUAAAAAGAAAUUGGGUUGUUUUAUAAACUUCUUUGUGAGUUUUUGAAAAUAAUGCAAAUAUUUGUCCUUUUAACACAGAUGAUCUUGGAGUCUGGAAGUAUUCAUAGCUUCAUUUGAGAAAACCUUCUUGAUGUAUUAGACACACAGGUACAAGGUUUGAUUCAAAAUACGUGCCGAAUCAAUGCUCUUUAAUUCAAACCUUUACAAUUGGCAUUCACUGCCCAACAUUCUAAGGAAGUCAAGCAAUAAAUCAAGACAAAAAUAAAGGCCAGUUUAAGGAACUUCUGAUGCAGGGUUGUCAGAGGCCGCAGACUGCGUGUGACCCAAGAAGCAACCAUGAAGAGCAAAAGAAAUAUCAAGACUCCACUCCACUGAUACAAUUUAAUGUUGUCGAUGGUGUUCGAGGCUGGCUUUUAACAUGAUGAGCCAGGUUAUUUAAUAGUCCAUGUUGGAGUAAAAUAAAAUACAUUUUUAGUGGAGUUACGAUUCCAAAUCUUCAUUUGACUUAUGCAUGAAGUGAUUAUCUUCAUUUUGAUAUUAUUGUUUGUAUGUUGCUAUUGUGCAUCUAUGUUCUUGUUAUAAAAAAUGAAAGGAUUCUAUGUUGAUGAUGUCAUUAUAUUAAAAAAAUAUGUUUUUA